CUGAAGCUUCCCAAACAAGAAGAGAACAAAAGGAGCGCCACGUUUGGCUGUUUGCAGAUGAGAUGUUAUACUGCAAAUAAUCAGUCAAGAUCAGUUCACAUUUGUUAUUGGAGAUACAGGGCAAGCGGUGUGGAAUCACAGACCUGUAUUGAUGAGCCCAGUGUCAGUGAAGAUGGCGUGGUCAGUGCAAUC